rnacentral:misc_RNA from 1 species
GUAGGUGAACCUGCGGAAGGAUCAUUACAGAGUUCAUGCCCUCACGGGUAGAUCUCCCACCCUUGAAUACUAUACCUUCGUUGCUUUGGCAGGCCGUGGAAACACCACGGGCCUCGGCUAGUGCGUGCCUGCCAGAGGAAACAAACUCUGUUUUUAGUGAUGUCUGAGUACUAUAUAAAUAGUUAAAACUUUCAACAACGGAUCUCUUGGUUCUG